rnacentral:rRNA from 1 species
UACCAUGCAGUCGAACGGCAGCACAGGAGAGCUUGCUCUCUGGGUGGCGAGUGGCGGACGGGUGAGGAAUACAUCGGAAUCUACCUUUUCGUGGGGGAUAACGUAGGGAAACUUACGCUAAUACCGCAUACGACCUACGGGUGAAAGUGGGGGACCGCAAGGCCUCACGCGAUUAGAUGAGCCGAUGUCCGAUUAGCUAGUUGGCGGGGUAAUGGCCCACCAAGGCGACGAUCGGUAGCUGGUCUGAGAGGAUGAUCAGCCACACUGGAACUGAGACACGGUCCAGACUCCUACGGGAGGCAGCAGUGGGGAAUAUUGGACAAUGGGCGCAAGCCUGAUCCAGCCAUACCGCGUGGGUGAAGAAGGCCUUCGGGUUGUAAAGCCCUUUUGUUGGGAAAGAAAUCCUAUCGGUUAAUAACCGGUGGGGAUGACGGUACCCAAAGAAUAAGCACCGGCUAACUUCGUGCCAGCAGCCGCGGUAAUACGAAGGGUGCAAGCGUUACUCGGAAUUACUGGGCGUAAAGCGUGCGUAGGUGGUGGUUUAAGUCCGUUGUGAAAGCCCUGGGCUCAACCUGGGAAUUGCAGUGGAUACUGGAUCACUAGAGUGUGGUAGAGGGAUGCGGAAUUUCUGGUGUAGCAGUGAAAUGCGUAGAGAUCAGAAGGAACAUCCGUGGCGAAGGCGGCAUCCUGGGCCAACACUGACACUGAGGCACGAAAGCGUGGGGGAGCAAACAGGAUUAGAUACCCUGGUAGUCCACGCCCUAAACGAUGCGAACUGGAUGUUGGGUGCAACUUGGCAACCCAGUAUCGAAGCUAACGCGUUAAGUUCGCCGCCUGGGGAGUACGGUCCCAAGACUGAAACUCAAAGGAAUUUGACGGGGGGCCCGCACAAGCGGUGGAAUAU